GUCAUUUUGUCGGGUUGUACGGGUGACAUAACACUUGGCAGUGCUCGUGACGUCAUCGCGCCGUGACGUAAGGUCAACGUUAUGGUACUGGGUUGUACGGGUGACGUCAUGGCGCUGGGUAGUACGGUGAGUUCAUUGCGCCGGUUUGCACGGGUGACAUCAUUGGGCCGAGUUGUAGUGAUGACGACAUCGAUGCUGCGCGCCACUCCCGGAAAAUUGCGUCGGGACGACGUCCACCAAGCAAUGUAGUGCUUGACGUCAUGUGGACAGGGAAGUAGCAGCGCCACCUUUGCCGAGGGGAAAUACAAUACAGAACCAAAGAGAACCUAAACAUCGUUCAAGUAUGCAGACGACGGACAGAAUCUUGGAUCCAAGCGCCUGACACCCUCAACGUCACCGGUCGCGUCGACCCGGGGUGGACUAGCGAGUAUGGAGCUGCCAUCGCCAACCCCUCCUCCACGCCCAUUAGGCCAUCUUCAAGCUGUCCCUGGGGCCUCCAGGGAGCCCACACCGAAUUCGCGUGAAGGCCCAGCAACAAGGACCCGUUCAAAGACUGUCCGCUUUAAAUGACCCUCCUCCAGCGUUAUUUAUUUUUACUGUGCGAAUGAAUGUCUCUGUUCCACUAUUAUGCUUUUCAUACCACAAACCCUGCAUGAUGCUCAACUAAUUACAAUCCCUUAAUUAUAUACAGUAUAUUUGAAACACAGUUGCUUAAGCACAGGCCCAUAGGCCCAACGAGUGAAGUAGCCAGCAACAAACGGCACUAUAAAAGAGUGUGUAACACGUCUCUUGAAAUGAGAAAUAUUGUAAGAGUGUGGGAAAAGAGACGAUGAUGGGAUAGAAUUUCAAAGUGGAGCAGUGCUAGGGACGAAGCGUACAUAUGCUGGGGUUGAUGCUCCCCUCCUCCUCUCCCCCUUCCUCUCUUCCCCGCCGGGCUGCCGCCGAUCGAGUGAUCGGCCCCCCUGCACCAGCGUCCUCUCUGUGGGACAUGGCUAGUGGCUGGCUCCCCACCGCCUCGGGUUAUCCCACACACUCCCCACGUAAACCACCACUAAUCUUGCGCGUACCCGUACAGGUGUACGCUGCUCACCACGCCUCGCGCUAACAAAAAUAGCCGUAUGAAUAAACCACCACUCACGCUGCGGUGGCUGUGUGCACGCGCGUGCCUGCUCGUAUGGCUCUCUACUGCUCACGCUAAAAAUAGCGUGGCAGCCGCGCGGAUGCGGGCACAGUCAAGGAGUCACUACGCAGCGCAGCCUCACUCGCACGCAACGGGCACAAUGACGAUCGUGUAGAUGAUAUUUGCGCGUUAAUCCGCCGUGCAGAAACGUGCGGCGAGCGCAAGCAAUCGUUUAUAAUUGAAUACACGCCGAUCGUCACACGUACGGGCGAGCGCAAACACGCGGGCACAGGUGAUCGUAUUGAUGAGGAUAGUCGAUGCACUAAUCCCCCCAUGCAAACACAGUCGAUGGCCAUAUACGCGCGCUAAUCUCCAGUGCAAACACAAUCACAAGCUCAAGCACGCGGCCACGGAUGCGCACACGCUGAAUUACACACCCCGUGACCCCCUUAAGGGCUCGUCGCUACGUAAUCCCACUGCGUAAAAUGCGCUAGGUAAAAGCGCACGCGAUCGCACGCACGCGAAUGUCAACGAUCGUUUUCGGGCUGAUUACCCGCGCCUUUCACACAUGCACGUACUCACACCACCCCUACGCUCUCUGCACACACACAGAAAUCACGCGGCGUCAUCGCUCUGCGCUAAAGUUUAUUAAUGUAAUACCUGAAGAAAAGCCCUGCGUGGCCCGGAGCAACACCGUCUAGCGAGCAGCGUCUCACCUAUCUCUAUCCACACCCUUGCGGGGCCCUCGCUCUAUUCCCCACCCCUCGGACGUACUCGCGGUAUCCCGCGGACGCGAUGGGAGUCGGAAAGACGUGGGUCCGGGAAGUCUCUGCCUGCGUCGAGUUGAAGCUGCGCUCGCCAGCGCCUUUCGGACACUCAGCGGCUGGGAGUCCGACUGGGUCGCUGGCUGCUUGGAGGAGGACUCCCAAAACGUUUUUCCUCUUCCCUCCUUUUAUUUCUUCCCCAGUCAAAAAUCCCAGGCCAAGUUGUGUUGCCCUCCCAGCCAAUCCGGCACCUACCUUUCGAUUUUCAACCGAUGCCCCUCCCCUACUCCUCGUGCUCAUGCUCUCCACUGUGCCCUAGUCCAUUGUCUGCGCGUUCACCUUCCCCACCCCCGCCACAUCCGGCCUGGCCGGGGUGGCCGUCCAGUGGAGGUUAAGUUUUAGUCGGAUCGCUGGGCGUUUUGUUCCUCCCCACGGCCCUAUUCCCCUGUGUUCGGUGUGUCCUCACUGCAGUUUGCUCGGUAAGCUCGCCGUGGCCAUACAAUUUUAAAUUAAUCCACAGGGCCGCAGUGCAAUUCAGCCUGGGGGGGGGGGGAUCGGCCAACCUCCUGGCACUGGGAAACCGUGGGACAUCCCCACAAGGGGGCCCUCGGGUAAAAACCCAGAGUGCCAGGUGACCCCCCCCCUACGUGGGUGCAUGUGUGUGUUUAGAGGGGGUUGCGAGGGGACAGCAGCGCUGGCAGCGUGGCUCCGUUGCUGUGGCACCACACAUAUAAGAGUUGUCACUUGAAUAUUUCCUGGCCACACGGUAGCAGGAGAGAGGAGUCUGCUGCGAUUUGCCAGGCGUGAGAAUUGUGUGUGGUUACGCAAACCCCGAUGGUCAGGAUGCCGUUUCAUCCCCAAGUCCUGUAGAGGAUAACCUAGGUGGAUCAGAGAGAAUGAAAGAUCAGAGAAAGUGAAGAUUCUGAUAAGGAGCCGGAGUGAGGUUGAAAACAGAGCGACAGGGAGUGAUGCUGGGAACGCCACAGGUGCGAGUGUGGAACGCAGUUUAUUUUCCAGAAGCAAUCGGCUUCCUUCUCUGUGGGUAUAAUGCUUUACUGCCCGUGGACUUGCCAGAACAACAGUAAAGUGUGCAUUCUCGUGCUGUUUCUUUUGAAUACCAAAUCAGAGUCAACGGGACGGCGAGGGAGGGGCAUCUGCUCCAGCUUCAUGACAUCGCGAUACAAUGCUGCCCAGGACGGCAGCCGUUCAAUGGGGGGGGGGGGG